CGGACACCGACCGGAGGGGACUGUGCCUUCCAGCCCUGCGUCACCCGAGGCAAGGCCCGCGCCUGCUGCCUUGGCUUGCAACUCGGGAAAGUUCUCAGGCUUCCCCGGAUUGCACCGGCACCCUCACCUUUCCUGCCUGGACAAGCUGGCGACCUCCCGGUCCUCCUUUCAAAUUCUGCUGGUCUCGAAAUCUGCUGUGAGCAUGGAACGCCUCAGCUCUAGCUAGCCCUGGUAACCGACCUCACUCACUCCUCAGGGCUAACUGUGGAUCAUUCAUUUCAUCGCAAGCGAGGUAACCUGUGCACUGAGCAGUCAGUCGAUGGUGGUUCUCGGGAAACCAAGGCGAAGGAACGCUCCCCACCCACCUUGUCCCCGUGGCUAAACGUAGACGUGGAGUCCCUACCCGGCCCCCUCCGGCUACACCUCAGCCAAGCGUAAACUCGGAGGGAAGGACUCUUCUCUGGAGUUCACCUUGCCAACAGGUGUGGCACCCGAAAGAAGAGCCAUCACAUCCCCAAGA
rnacentral:lncRNA from 1 species